rnacentral:lncRNA from 1 species
AUCAUUUCAGAACAAGAUAUGAUUUUUUUUUAUGCUGUUAUUCUUAUGUACAUCAGCCCCAGAUGACCAAACCUGAGGUGAUGACCACACCUGAGGUGACCACCUCCGGCCACACCAGCCCCUCUGAUGGCUCUGCAGGGUCUCCUGCACCCUCCGGCCACACCAGCCCCUCUGAUGGCUCUGCAGGGUCUCCUGCACCCUCCGGCCACACCAGCCCCUCUGAUGGCUCUGCAGGGUCUCCUGCACCCUCCGGCCACACCAGCCCCUCUGAUGGCUCUGCAGGGUCUCCUGCACCCUCCGGCCACACCAGCCCCUCUGAUGGCUCUGCAGGGUCUCCUGCACCCUCCGGCCACACCAGCCCCUCUGAUGGCUCUGCAGGGUCUCCUGCACCCUCCGGCCACACCAGCCCCUCUGAUGGCUCUUCAGGGUCUAGUUUCAAGUUUAUUUAUUAUCUCCUGCACCCUCUGGCCACACCAGCCCCUCUGAUGGCUCUGCAGGGUCUCCUGCACCCUCCGGCCACACCAGCCCUUCUAAUGGCUCUGCAGGGUCUCCUGCACCCUCCGGCCACACCAGCCCUUCUGAUGGCUCUGCAGCGUCUCCUGCACCCUCGCCUCACUCCUGCAACACCACUUGCGCAUUGUCACCAGCAUCCUCCGCCGCCUUCAGCCCGGACAAAUAUUUCGUUGAUUCUUUGCCUCAGUGUCCUGCCUUCCUUUUUGUUUCCAAAGAAGACUGGAAGGCAUUGAGGAAGACCCAGGUGAAGCGGCAGUUCUCCAGCCUCGACUGGACUGCGGUGAUGUCAAAGGGCAUCAAGGAGGUCAACCCGUACUGCAGCUUUGCCUUCAAGCGGCAUGCUGUGAAGACAGUGGGAUCGAGGAGGCGUGGGGCCCUGUUCAAGGCUUCCGCGUAUUGUGCCUUCGAAGAUUGCCCUGUCCAGGUUGAGCUCACCAUUGACGAUGACUCCCUGAGGGCCAAUUUGACCUUCUCAGGGGAAUUUGUGAGGCACAGCAGGAGGCAGCUUGUACGCAGGCCUGUUCGUGCCAGCGAAAGGGAGGUCCUGGCGGAGGCACUCCAAAACAAGCUCCCUAGGAGCUUUUUUCUGGAGAAACUCCAGGGGCUUGGUGAGGACAUUUAUGAGUCAGGCUGCAGGGAUGGAGUCCCAACAGCAGGGGUUUUGAAGACUCUGUCUUCUGAGAAGAGAGGACACAAUCGCCUGCAUGAAGACGACAUGCUUUGCUUAAAAAUGAUGGCGGAGGAGGAGCGGGGGACUGAGUCUGCUGUAAUACAGCAGAUCUCACAGAAGCCGAAGGCUGUGAUGCUCUGGUCUGCAAAGACCAUCAAUGUAUACUUUGACCAAUGUAAACACGACAUUGUUUACAUUGAUGCCACUGGCAGUGUGGUCCACAGGUCAAUGGGAGACCCUAAACCAUAUUAUAAAUAUGAGAUAGUGGUGAGACACCCACAUAAAGGGUCUUCCCCCCUCCCUGUGGCUACAUUUGUCACAACUGACCAAACGACAGCAUCAGUCUCCCAUUUCAUUGCAGCCUUCCUGACUGAUGCUGUGAGGCAGCAUGGGCAGGCAGUGCGAAGAAGGCCAGUGAUGGUCAUGUGUGAUGGCUCAUCAGUCCUUCUCCAGUCACUCUCCAUGAAUUUCUGUGGGAUAUCCCUCCCAGAGCUCCUGAAGAGGUAUUAUGGGAUUGUGACUAAUAAAGGGACAGGCAGAUUGUGCUGAACUCCCCAUUCUUCAUAGAUGCCUAAGCCACAUUAUGAAGAAUGUGAAGAGUCUCUGCAAGAAGCAGUGAGUAACAGUGAAAUUGAUCAUUUAUUCUGUUGUAUUGUGAUAGUGUAUUCUUUGUUAUACUAAUUGCACACGCUUUUCUUUACAGUGCUAGCAAACAUUACCAUCUAGCCAUGCAUGUGAUCGGGAGAAUGACUCAAGCCCGAACCAUGCAUGAGCUUGAUGAUGUCUUCAUUAGCGCAGCUGUCGUCUUCUCCAGCCCUUGCAGUGCAGUGAAUGUUGAAAAACAUUUUCAAAACCUGCAGGUCCAUCUGCAGGGGAUAGACCUAGCCAUAGAAGAGGCCAAGAUUGAGGAGGAAGAAUUUGGGGUAUGUACAUGAAUGGCGGCACCUUUGCGGAGGGCAACACCUUAGGAGAGAGGAGGAAGAAUUUGGGAU